UUUGUUGCCAGCAUGUUUGGGUGGGCACUCUAGAGAGACUGCCGGUGACAAGCCGGAGGAAGGUGGGGAUGACGUCAAGUCCUCAUGGCCCUUAUGUCCUGGGCUACACACGUGCUACAAUGGCGGUGACAGUGGGAAGCUAGAUGGCGACAUCGUGCUGAUCUCUAAAAACCGUCUCAGUUCGGAUUGUACUCUGCAACUCGAGUACAUGAAGGUGGAAUCGCUAGUAAUCGCGGAUCAGCAUGCCGCGGUGAAUACGUUCCCGGGCCUUGUACACACCGCCCGUCACACCAUGGGAGUUGGUUUGCACCCUUAAGCCGGUGAGCGAACCCGUCAAGGGGCGCAGCCGACCACGGUCGGUCAGCGACUGGGGUGAAG
rnacentral:rRNA from 1 species